rnacentral:tRNA from 1 species
CGCGGGGUGGAGCAGUCUGGUAGCUCGUCGGGCUCAUAACCCGAAGGUCGUGGGUUCCAAUCCCACCCCCGCAACC